UACGUAGGGUGCGAGCGUUGUCCGGAAUUACUGGGCGUAAAGAGCUCGUAGGUGGUUUGUCGCGUUGUUCGUGAAAACCGGGGGCUUAACUCUCGGCGUGCGGGCGAUACGGGCAGACUGGAGUACUGCAGGGGAGACUGGAAUUCCUGGUGUAGCGGUGGAAUGCGCAGAUAUCAGGAGAACACCAGCGGCGAAGGCGGCUCG
rnacentral:rRNA from 1 species